UGGGGAAUUUUGGACAAUGGGCGAAAGCCUGAUCCAGCCAUGCCGCGUGAGUGAAGAAGGCCUUCGGGUUGUAAAGCUCUUUUAGUCGGAAAGAAAAGAUCAUAAUGAACAAGUAUGAUUCAUGACGGUACCGACAGAAAAAGCACCGGCUAACUACGUGCCAGCAGCCGCGGUAAUACGUAGGGUGCGAGCGUUAAUCGGAAUUACUGGGCGUAAAGGGUGCGCAGGCGGUUUUGUAAGUCAGAUGUGAAAUCCCCGGGCUUAACCUGGGAAUUGCGUUUGAAACUGCAAGACUAGAGUGCAGCAGAGGGGAGUGGAAUUCCAUGUGUAGCAGUGAAAUGCGUAGAGAUGUGGAAGAACACCGAUGGCGAAGGCAGCUCCCUGGGUUGACACUGACGCUCAUGCACGAAAGCGUGGGGAGCAAACA
rnacentral:rRNA from 1 species